UACGUAGGGUGCAAGCGUUGUCCGGAAUUAUUGGGCGUAAAGAGCUCGUAGGCGGUUUGUCGCGUCUGCUGUGAAAACGCGAGGCUCAACCUCGCGCCUGCAGUGGGUACGGGCAGACUAGAGUGCGGUAGGGGAGAUUGGAAUUCCUGGUGUAGCGGUGGAAUGCGCAGAUAUCAGGAGGAACACCGAUGGCGAAGGCAGAUCUCUGGGCCGUAACUGACGCUGAGGAGACGAAAGCGUGGGGAGCGAACAGG
rnacentral:rRNA from 1 species